GUGGAUGUGGCUCAGUGGUUAAGAGCAGUCUCCAGAGGUCCUGAGUUCAAUUCCCAGCAACCACA
rnacentral:tRNA from 1 species